ensembl:snRNA U6 U6 spliceosomal RNA
GUUCUCACUUUAGCAGCACACAUCCUAAAGUUGAAAUGAUACACAGAUUAGCAUGGCCGCAGCCCAAGGAUGACAUGAAAAUUCAUGAAAUGUUCCAUAUAAAA